CGGGUGAGUAACGCGUGGAUAACCUGCCUCACACUGGGGGAUAACAGUUAGAAAUGACUGCUAAUACCGCAUGAGCGCACAGUACCACAUGGUACGGUGUGAAAAACUCCGGUGGUGUGAGAUGGAUCCGCGUCUGAUUAGCCAGUUGGCGGGGUAACGGCCCACCAAAGCGACGAUCAGUAGCCGACCUGAGAGGGUGACCGGCCACAUUGGGACUGAGACACGGCCCAA
rnacentral:rRNA from 1 species